rnacentral:rRNA from 1 species
CCUACGGGGUGCAGCAGGCGCGCAAACUUUACAAUGCGAGCAAUCGUGAUAAGGAAACCCUGAGUGCCUGUCGAUGCAGGCUGUUCAUAUAUCUAAAUCAUAUGUGAAGAAAGGGCAGGGCAAGACCGGUGCCAGCCGCCGCGGUAAUACCGGCUGCUCGAGUGAUGGCCACUAUUACUGGGUUUAAAGCGUCCGUAGCUUGACUGUUAGGUCCCUUGGGAAAUCUUCACGCUUAACGUGAAGGCGUCUAAGAGAUACCGGCAGUCUUGGAACUGGGAGAGGUAAACCGUACUUCGGGGGUAGGAGUGAAAUCUUGUAAUCCUCGAGGGACGACCUAUGGCGAAGGCAGUUUACCAGAACAGCUUCGACAGUGAGGGACGAAAGCUGGGGGAGCAAACGGGAUUAGAUACCCCGGUAGCCCCAGCCGUAAACAAUGUGCGUUAGGUGUGUCGGUAACCACGCGUUACUGAUGCGCCGAAGAGAAAUCGUGAAACGCACCACCUGGGAAGUACGGUCGCAAGGCUGAAACUUAAAGGAAUUGGCGGGGGAGCACCACAACAGGUGGAGCCUGCGGUUUAAUUGGAUUCAACGCCGGACAUCUCACCGGAUAAGACAGCUGAAUGAUUGUCAAUCUGAAGGUUUUACAUGACUAGCUGAGAGGAGGUGCAUGGCCGUCGUCAGUUCGUACUGUGAAGCAUCCUGUUAAGUCAGGCAACGAGCGAGACCCACGCCGACAAUUGCCAGCAGCAUCUCCGGAUGGCUGGGGACAUUGUCGGGACCGCCUCUGCUAAAGAGGAGGAAGGAAUGGGCAACGGUAGGUCAGCAUGCCCCGAAUUAUCCGGGCUACACGCGGGCUACAAUGGACGGGACAAUGGGUAACACCACCGAAAGGUGCAGUCAAUCUCCUAACCCCGUCCUUAGUUAGGAUUGCGGGUUGCAACUCACCCGCAUGAAUCUGGAAUCUGUAGUAAUCGCGUCUCACUAUAGCGCGGUGAAUACGUCCCUGCUCCUUGCACACACCGCCCGUC